AUAUGAUUUCUUAUAGAAGGAGUAGUACAGAGAAAUUAUAUAAUUUGUCAUCGUCGAUAUCAGAAUACUGGAUAGCAUAGGCUACUCGUGGUGGAGAGGCAUAUUAGAGCUCAGUGAGAGCCCAUAACAUUAUACAGCAGUGUUGUCUUGAUUUAAUUGGGAUUUGAGCAACUUUUCCACAAACAAAAUUCUGAUGCUGACACAGAAGAUGGAGUGAUAAUACCAGAGAUCAGCUGUCUCCAUCAGACAAUAAUGUUACUUUGU